rnacentral:lncRNA from 1 species
GUGUAGUCACAACCCUCACAAAUCACUCAAGUGAAUGUCGCACGAUUUAUUCCAAAAAUGAGAAAUUCAAAAGAUGAAAAUUCAAAAGUUCAAAAUAAAAAAAUAAAAAUAAAAUUAAAAAAAAAGCCCGCAAAGUCGAAACAUGGAAACAAGCGGCUUAGGAAAAAAUUAAGGCACCCCGGUGGACUGCAAAUCCAAAUAUCAGUCUAGGAAAAAAUAAGGGAAAGCAAAAACAAACAAAAAAUAGAAGGAUCAAAGCAAAUAUCCUCAACAAAGAC